UACAGAGGUCCCGAGCGUUGUUCGGAUUCAUUGGGCGUAAAGGGUGCGUAGGCGGCGGGGCAAGUCUGAUGUGAAAUCCCGGGGCUCAACCCCGGAACUGCAUUGGAUACUGCCUUGCUUGAGUACUGGAGAGGGAACUGGAAUUUACGGUGUAGCAGUGAAAUGCGUAGAGAUCGUAAGGAAGACCAGUGGCGAAGGCGGAUCUCUGGACAGUUCCUGACGCUGAGGCGCGAAGGCCAGGGGAGCAAACGGG
rnacentral:rRNA from 1 species